rnacentral:misc_RNA from 1 species
AGCAUCAAUCAUCUUGUUUGUGCGUUGGUUUAGCUAGCGUUGAGCCUCCAGUAUGGACGAACAUUCUUCAGCAUGCUCCUGCGCAGGCAUCCGCUUCUGCGCCAAGUGUCGUGACUCGUCGAGAGUGCAGCAACUCUUUAGCGGAUCUGUACCUCUCUCGAGCGCGCGCACUGUUAUUGAAAAACAGCACAAUGAUGAGCGUCUUUCCUCGUGCUCUUUUGCAAUCAUUAGGAAAAGCUCUCUUAGCUUUUGCAUCGAAUGCGCGAGUGUGUUCAAAUCUGAAGUCCCGAUAAAGUCAUGCGCGGAUCACCAGGGAGCCAUGGCUACCAGCAUUACUAUCAGUGGUCUUGCUGUCCUUCAACAUGCGCUUACCGAAGAGGAUGAGGCGGCAGUGAUUCGCUUCUUGGAUGAUUCGCACCCGUUUCCACCCUGGAAGGAGUCGCAGAGCGGACGGCGCAAGCAAGACUACGGACCGAGGCGCAACUUCAAGAAGAAGAAGGUAAAAGUCGCAGAGAUACCAUCGAUGCCACUUGUGUUCGAAUCCGUCUUUGCGGUGAUUUCGUCAAUGACGGAAACCUUUACUGGUAAGGCAUACAGAAUUGCGGAGGUAUCUGCGCUUGAGUACAUGGAGGGCAAGAUGAGUAAUUUCGAUCCCCACGUAGAUGACACGUGGCUAUGGGGCGACCGUAUUGCCGGGCUGAAUCUGAACGAAGCGUGCGUUGUGACGUUCGUGAAUCCGGAGGGUGUGUGCUGUGAUGUCUACUUGCCGCGUCGCGCGUUUUUCCUCAUGUCUGGGAACUGCCGCUACAAGUGGAUGCAUGGUAUCCGGCACGAACAUGUUCGGGGGCGUCGAAUUUCUCUGACAUUCCGAGAGUUGUCUGACGAAAUACUCGCCGACACGGAAGCUUCUGAAAUGGUGCUUUCUGCUGCUUCGAAUUUUGUGUAGCACACUCAC